UAGUCAAGCCAUUGGACAACACGUCAGGAUAUACUUUUUCUUUCUUUACUUCUUUCUUAAAAAAUCCCAAAUUCACUUGAGUUCUAAAAACCCUAUUGUGAAGAUGAACCAUUUCCACCCACUGUGACGGUGGCUGAGAACCAUUAAAGGGGAAAUCUGCAUAACUCUCACCUCAAAUUUAUCAAUAAUCUUCUUCUCUCGGUUCCCAUUGUGACGACGCAAAAGAGUGAAGUUCGUGACACGAAACGGAGCAAAAUAGUCAACUUCUAAAUCUGCAAUCACAUUGAUCGUUCAGAUUGAUUUGAUUCACCAGAUUCGCCGUCGUAUAUGUUCUUGCGACAACACUGAAUCUUCCUCUGCGAGAAGAUUUGCGACACUCCUGUCUUCAAAGUGGAAGUUUAUCUUGCCAAAUGAAGCACAAGAUUGGGUUGACACUACUGUUAAAGAUGCAUGGAGAAGAUAUAAACACAAAAUUAAGAAGAAUCAUUUUUUUAAGUAUUCCAACAUGACUGAGAGACUUAAACAUCGUCAUCCAAAGAUGCUAGAAGUUCAUUUUAAGAAGCUUUGUGAAUACUGGAGUUUGAAGCCUAUACAAUCAACAAAAGUGGAGGCAUGAGAUGGGUCUCAAAAACUUUGCGUUACUUCGUGAAAAAUGCGUGCAAAGGAAGGAAAAGAGCCCACCCAAGCAGAAGUUUUUGUUGAAACUCGGAAAGAAAAUAAAGGAAAGAAAUUGGAUGUAGAAACUGAGAAAGCAAUUGCCAAACUUCAAGAAAUGGUUGAAAUUGAGGAAAAUGAUACAGAAGCAUUUGAAGUUGUUUUUGGGAAGGAGCAUACUGGCAUUUCAAGAAGAUGCAUUUUCGCAUUAAUUUCUCCAUUGGCAACUGAUUUGGAUGGUUUUUUUGCUAGGCGCAUACUUGAAGUGUUAAAUUUCAUCUAUGUGACAUUUUGUUUACCAUAUGCGUCAAAGUAUCAAACUACGAUAGAUAUUUUGUCUACUAUUUUGUAUUUGACUUUUAACACGUUACGUUUCUCUAUCAAUUUUUUAUUUGGCACAUUAUAUAUCUUUGUUAAAUUAUAUGGCUAAUCAAAGAGCUGAUUUGAAA